AGAGUUUGAUCCUGGCUCAGGACUAACGUUGGCGGCGUGCCUAACACAUGCAAGUCGAACGAGGUAGCAAUACCUAGUGGCAGACGGGUGAGUAACGCGCAGGUAAUGUGCCCUCCUGCGGGGGAUACCGUUCCGAAAGGGACGUUAAUACCGCAUAACAUGCUCCAGGGGCAUCUUUGGAGUAUCAAACUUCCGGGGUAGGGGGAGCAGCCUGCGUUCUAUCAGCUUGUUGGUGAGGUAAUGGCUCACCAAGGCUACGACGGAUAACUGGUCUGAGAGGAUGACCAGUCACACUGGGACUGAGACACGGCCCAGACUCCUACGGGAGGCAGCAGUGAGGAAUAUUGCGCAAUGGGCGAAAGCCUGACGCAGCGACGCCGCGUGGAGGAUGAAGGCCCUCGGGUUGUAAACUCCUGUCAGUGGGGAAGAGAACGGACGGUACCCACUGAGGAAGCUUCGGCUAACUACGUGCCAGCAGCCGCGGUAAGACGUAGGGAGCAGGCGUUGCCCGGAAUUACUGGGCGUAAAGAGCUCGUAGGCGGGAGCGUACGUCUGAUGGGAAAUCUCAGGGCUCAUCUCUGGGGCUUUUUCAGAUACGGCGCU
rnacentral:rRNA from 1 species